rnacentral:rRNA from 1 species
AUUGAACGCUAGCGGCAGGCCUAACACAUGCAAGUCGAACGAGUGGCGGACGGGUGAGUAAUGUCUGGGAAACUGCCCGAUGGAGGGGGAUAACUACUCGAAACGGUAGCUAAUACCGCAUACCAUCGGAUCGGCCCAGAUGGGAUUAGCUAGUAGGUGGGGUAAAGGCUCACCUAGGCGACGAUCCAUAGCUGGUCUGAGAGGAGGACCAGCCACACUGGGACUGAGACACGGUCCAGACUCCUACGGGAGGCAGCAGUUGGGAAGAUUGGACAAUGGGCGAAAGCCUGAUGCAGCCAGGCCGCGUGUAUGAUGAAGGCCUUCGGGUUGUAAAGUACUUUCGGCGGGGAGGCGUUACCCGCAGAAGAAGCACCGGCUAACUCCGUGCCAGCAGCCGCGGUAAUUC